rnacentral:lncRNA from 10 species
AUUUGAGAAAAUGAAGUGGCAGCAAAAUUGUUCAAAACCUCAUCUGUUAGAAACUCAUUUCCCAUACCAGACCAACUCAUUCCAACAGAAGCAUGUGGUGUACAUGAUAAGGAAUCUCUAAGUGAUCAAGACAGAAAUAAAAAGCGAUGCAAGUUAGUGAAUAUAAGUUUUCAUAUGUCGAUGAGUGACAAGUAUUUAUUUAAGAAGAUGUACUAGUCUCGGAAGUGUUUACAUUAAUGAAAUAAACUGGAAGGUUAUCAAAAGCUAACUGCAAAAUCACAAAGAAGACCAAUCACCUUGUUCGCUAAGGCGGCUGUCUGAGAACGUCUCCAGAUUAGGAAGCACACAGGCACCUUGCUUUUCGAAUUUGCAGGAGCCACAUAUAAGUAUAUUUAACAUAGGCAUUAGGAUUAUAGACAAUAGCAAAUCUAUUCUAGUGAUGUAAAGUAUAUGUUCCUUAAUAUAUCAUUCAGAACUCACCCUUUCUACCACAUCUAAUGUGGAUUGCGUGCCUUAUCCCACCUUUUUAUUUUUUACAUUCCUGGAGCACCUGGUCACAACUUGAACAUCAGUGGUAUCACUGACUGCAUGGAAAUUACCUGGCUACUUGUAUGCCUUCAAACAGAAGACUGAACCAUUUGGAGGGAUGUGUGACUAUACUUUUUUUUAAAUCUUUAUAUCACUUCACAUGGCUCUUAUUAGUUGUUCAAUAGUUGCUGAAUAUUGACACUCGUAUGAGUGAGAAGUCCUGACAAUGACUGCAAUAAACUCAAGUCACCCUUGAAAUAGACAGAAAUGCUUGAGAGAUGCCACUCAGUGAAUCAAUUUGAUAAGCAAGAUGUAGGAUUUGUAGAACAGUAAAGGAAAUGGAAUCCAGAUUUGGGGUGUUGAUGGGGAGAUUCUGAACAAUUGGUAAGUAUGUAUAUUAAAUGAAAGAUUUUCAAAUUUCUAAAUGAGCUUUUUAAAAGUACAAUUUACAUACAAAGAAAAUUCACUUUUAAUGUAGUUCUGUGAGUACAGAUAUAUGUAUAUAGUAGUGUAACCAUCACCAUAAUGAAAAUUUAAAGUGGUUCUAACCCCCAAAUUCCUGCAUGUCUGUUGUAGACAACUCCUCCCUCACACUCUCAAUCUUUGUUAGCCACUGCUAUGUUUUCUAUCUCUAUACUCUUACCUUUUCCAUGAUGUCAUAGAAAUAUAAUCUUACUAGACUCUCAGAUUGUCUACUUUCACUUAACAUAAUAAAUUUGAGAUUCUUGCACGUAUGAGUUUUUUUUUUUCCUUUUUGAGUAUUAUUGCCUCAUUUAAAGACAUUGUAGUUUGUUUAUUAGCUCACCAUUUAAACAUUUCGGUUGAUUCUAGUUUGGAGUAAUUAUUUUAAAAAUCAACUGGAACCAUUCAAAUACAGGUAGGUUUUGUGAGAAUGUAAGUUUUUAUUUCACUUGUGUAAAUACUAGACUAAAAUUG